CAAAAGGUGGAGUUACUAUCUGCCUAUAAAAACCUUCAAGGUAAAGUUCAGCAGCUGAUUCUUGGCAACUGUGCACAAGGGUCAAAUUCAUACCUGGGUUCUGUGGGCAACUUCUAACAGAAAUUAGACCCAUCAGUUGUGAGUGGAAAAAGAAGAUACAAGAUGGUAUGAGCUAUUAGUAACGCCUGCCGAUAUGUGGCCCGGAAGAUCUCUGCCCUUUGUGGCAGGAAGGAGGAAGAUAGAACGGUAUCUGUAUCAACUCCGGCUGCAGUCAAUCAGGCAAAAUAUCCGAAUGUAGAUCAUGGAAAAAUGCAAAUGCCAAUCCACAAAGAAAUGCCACAUUCUCAGCCUUUCAAUCAGCAAUGUGGCCCCUGAGGGUAAAGAACGGCUCCUGUAAAAGGGGCCUCAGCCACUUCAGUGUAUUUUGGAAAUGUGGCUAAUUUUCCAACAACAAACUGAAAGAGAAACUGUUGUUCUUGUACAGUGAUUGAUGAAGGCUUGUUCACAACCUCUCAUUGUAGAAAUGAACUUGUCUGAAGAUAUUUUACUUGUACCUCUAAAACAGCAGAAUUUAGAAAUGUCUACAUUGAUGCUAAUUUUGUGUUACCAACUUAGUGUGAAAGCAUAAUGCCCUUCAUUAAAGAUUUGGUUUAAUUUCAA